rnacentral:rRNA from 1 species
GACGGACGCUGGCGGCGUGCCUAAUACAUGCAAGUCGAGCGGACAGAAGGGAGCUUGCUCCCGGAAGUCAGCGGCGGACGGGUGAGUAACACGUGGGCAACCUGCCUGUAAGACUGGGAUAACUUCGGGAAACCGGAGCUAAUACCGGAUAGGUUCUUCCCCCGCAUGGGGGAAGCUGGAAAGACGGUUUCGGCUGUCACUUACAGAUGGGCCCGCGGCGCAUUAGCUAGUGGGUGGGGUAAUGGCCCACCAAGGCGACGAUGCGUAGCCGACCUGAGAGGGUGAUCGGCCACACUGGGACUGAGACACGGCCCAGACUCCUACGGGAGGCAGCAGUAGGGAAUCUUCCGCAAUGGACGAAAGUCUGACGGAGCAACGCCGCGUGAGCGAAGAAGGCCUUCGGGUCGUAAAGCUCUGUUGUCAGGGAAGAACAAGUGCCAGAGUAACUGCUGGCACCUUGACGGUACCUGACCAGAAAGCCACGGCUAACUACGUGCCAGCCGCCGCCGUAACAC